GACGAACGCUGGCGGCGUGCUUAACACAUGCAAGUCGAACGGUAAGGCCCUUCGGGGUACACGAGUGGCGAACGGGUGAGUAACACGUGGGUGAUCUGCCCUGCACUUCGGGAUAAGCCUGGGAAACUGGGUCUAAUACCGGAUAGGACUCCUGGCUUCAUGGUUGGGGGUGGAAAGCCUUUGCGGUGUGGGAUGGGCCCGCGGCCUAUCAGCUUGUUGGUGGGGUGAUGGCCUACCAAGGCGACGACGGGUAGCCGGCCUGAGAGGGUGACCGGCCACACUGGGACUGAGAUACGGGCCAGACUCCUACGGGAGGCUGCAGUGGGGAAUAUUGCACAAUGGGCGAAAGCCUGAUGCAGCGACGCGGCGUGAGGGAUGACGGCCUUCGGGUUGUAAACCUCUUUCAGCACCGACGAAGCGCAAGUGACGGUAGGUGCAGAAGAAGGACCGGCCAACUACGUGCCAGCCGCCGCCGUAA
rnacentral:rRNA from 1 species